rnacentral:rRNA from 1 species
UGCCAGCCGCCGCGGUAAGACGAAGGUGGCAAACGUUGCUCGGAAUUACUGGGCAUAAAGCGCGCGUAGGUGGCUUGGUAAGCGGGAAAUGAAAUCCCAUGGCUCACCCAUGGAACUGUUUUCCGAACUGCUUUGCUUGAGGACGGGAGGGGGAAGUGGAAUUCCUGGUGUAGCGGUGAAAUGCGUAGAUAUCGGAAGGAACACCAGUGGCGAAGGCGCCUUCCUGGUACUCAACUGACGCUGAGGUGCGAAAGCAUGGGGAGCGAACAGGAUUAGAUA